AUCAGAACUGUCGUCUUCUGAUAAACAAUUCAUUUUAAAAACGCUUUAAACACAAGAAUUUUCCUUGUUACGAAUUAGUUUCUUGUCAACGUCUUGUAUCACAUUGCAACAGUCUUCGUUUCAAAAUAUGCAAACAAUGAAAAUGGUUGAAUAUGUACCACACCUAUGAAAAUAUAAUAUGUAUAGUAUAUAAAUAACUAUGGGAUAAAGAAGAUAUAUAACAUGAAAUAGGAAAAAAAUUUAAACUUUGAAAGAGAAAAGAAAGAUAAUAGAAAGAUUCUAUAAUUUACUUGAGCACGAUGUGUAUCAUUACUUUUUCAAACAGGUGUUUUGCACAUAUAUUAAUUACAAAGUUUAAUACCAGAAGACAAAUAAUAAAAAGACAAACUUGGAAGACAGGAAUUGAAUACCCAUACGAGUUUGUUCUUAAACUAAUUAAGUCACAUGUAUAUAUACCUUUUAUGAAUAUAUAUGAUUUUCUAACUAAAGACUUGUUCUUAUAUGCAUAUAUUUCUCUACAAUUUAUACAAUAGAGUAAGAAAGAUAGAAGAAUAGAUGUAUUUUCCACUACUUACUUUCACCAUAGUUUAUUACUAGUUUUCCUUCAUAUCAAUAAAUGUGUAAAUUGAUACUCUUAGAUAGUAUGUGUGCCAAGGAUAGUGAUUAACUCUCUAUUAUGGAAUACAGGCCAUUAAAAGACAAGGUUGUCUAUUACACUGGAAUAACAUAAUGUUGUUGGUACAUGAGCUGUCACACUGACCACAAGGCUGAUAUCACUAUAUUAUUAUUGGCGACUAUCACAGUGGAGAUAGCUAUUUAUUUUACGAAUUUCGAAAUUUCGAUCUUACACACUUUUAAGAAACAAUAACAAUAUCAGAGUGUAAGACAGAAACAAUAACAAUUGCGAAUCAAGAGUAUUAAAAUUUGGCCCAUUUACAUAACCGGUAUUGCAAGUAAAAAUAAUUACAUAUGCAUAUAUGCAUUCUCAAAAGAAUUAAAAUUACGCAGUAAAAUAAUGUAAUAAAAUAAGACUUUUAUUGAAGACCCAAUGAAAAGUAAGAUUUUAUGCAAAUGUUUGAUAUUUUGAUAUUUUUUUCUUUCUUUAAUAAAUAUCUCAGUGGAAAAUCCUAAUGUGU
rnacentral:misc_RNA from 1 species